CUGAUAUUAUAAUUAUCGAGCUGUUACAUCCGAUCAGGUAGAAAGUUCAAAUUAAAUUACCUUUCAAAGAGAUUUUUAAUUACCAAUCACCGAUUAGACCUCUAGUGCUACAGAGUGGCUCUGGCGGUUAUAUGAUGGUGGAUUUCCACAACGCCCGCUGCCUUAUGUACAAAGUUUCAUCAACAUUCACGCUCUACUAUGUGAAUUUCAAGAGGUCCACAAUUAUGUUGUAGGUAGACCCGCAAGUGUAAAAAAAACAUUAAAAACGAAAAAACUAUGCUUAAUGCAAUCAAAGAGGACCCUACAACAAGUACACAAAAUUGCACGCAACCAAAUUUAAAUCACAUUUACCAACGAAUAGUAUCGACGAUUUUUGGAUUUUCAGCUACCUGGAUUAAUGGAGAAAAUCCUCUUAUAGAGAACGACGUCGCAUGUGGUACAACGAUAUCACAAACUACAGUAUCGUUGCGCGAGAAUUCCUAGAUGAUAGUUAUACAAAUUGGUGAAUUGGAAGAAGAGGAUCACAGUCAUGUCAGAGACUAGAUGCCUGUAUUGAAGUUAAAUGCGGCCACUUUAAACAUUUAUUUAAAAAAAAAAACUAUUCUAUAUUUUCUA